AUUGAACGCUGGCGGCGUGCUUAACACAUGCAAGUCGUGCGGUAACAGGCGUAGCAAUACGUGCUGACGAGCGGCGAACGGGUGCGUAAUACAUGGGAAUCUGCCCUUUAGUGGGGAAUAACCCGGCGAAAGCCGGGCUAAUGCCGCAUAAGAUCUUCGGAUGAAAGCGGGGGAUCGUAAGACCUCGCGCUGAUGGAUGAGCCCAUGUCGGAUUAGCAGUUGGUGAGGUAAAGGCUCACCAAGGCGACGAUCCGUAGCUGGUCUGAGAGGACGGCCAGCCACACUGGGACUGAGACACGGCCCAGACUCCUACGGGAGGCAGCAGUGGGGAAUAUUGGACAAUGGGGAAACCCUGAUCCAGCGACGCCGCGUGUGUGAAGAAGGCCUGCGGGUUGUAAAGC
rnacentral:rRNA from 1 species